rnacentral:rRNA from 1 species
UACUGCUCAGUAACACGUGGAUAACCUGCCCUUGGGUCCGGCAUAACCCCGGGAAACUGGGGAUAAUUCCGGAUAACGCACAUAUGCUGGAAUGCUUUAUGCGUCAAAUGGAUUCGUCUGCCCAAGGAUGGGUCUGCGGCCUAUCAGGUAGUAGUGGGUGUAAUGUACCUACUAGCCGACGACGGGUACGGGCUAUGAGAGCAAGAGCCCGGAGAUGGAUUCUGAGACAUGAAUCCAGGCCCUACGGGGCGCAGCAGGCGCGAAAACUUUACAAUGCGGGAAACCGUGAUAAGGGGACACCGAGUGCCAGCGUCAUACGCUGGCUGUCCAGGUGUGUAAAAUACACCUGUUAGCAAGGGCCGGGCAAGACCGGUGCCAGCCGCCGCGGUAACACCGGCGGCCCGAGUGGUGAUCGUGAUUAUUGGGUCUAAAGGGUCCGUAGCCGGUUUGGUCAGUCCUCCGGGAAAUCUGAUAGCUCAACUGUUAGGCUUUCGGGGGAUACUGCCAGACUUGGAACCGGGAGAGGUAAGAGGUACUACAGGGGUAGGAGUGAAACCUUGUAAUCCCUGUGGGACCACCUGUGGCGAAGGCGUCUUACCAGAACGGGUUCGACGGUGAGGGACGAAAGCUGGGGGCACGAACCGGAUUAGAUACCCGGGUAGUCCCAGCCGUAAACGAUGCUCGCUAGGUGUCAGGCAUGGCGCGACCGUGUCUGGUGCCGCAGGGAAGCCGUGAAGCGAGCCACCUGGGAAGUACGGCCGCAAGGCUGAAACUUAAAGGAAUUGGCGGGGGAGCACA